rnacentral:rRNA from 1 species
UACGUAGGGGGCAAGCGUUGUCCGGAUUUAUUGGGCGUAAAGAGCGUGUAGGCGGCCGCACAGGUCCGUUGUGAAAACUGGAGGCUUAACCUUCAGACGUCGAUGGAAACCGUGCGGCUAGAGUCCGGAAGAGGAGAAUGGAAUUCCUGGUGUAGCGGUGAAAUGCGCAGAUAUCAGGAAGAACACCCGUGGCGAAGGCGGUUCUCUGGGACGGUACUGACGCUGAGACGCGAAAGCGUGGGGAGCGAACAGG